UGCUUAACACAUGCAAGUCGAACGAUGAACCACUUCGGUGGGGAUUAGUGGCGAACGGGUGAGUAACACGUGGGCAAUCUGCCCUGCACUCUGGGACAAGCCCUGGAAACGGGGUCUAAUACCGGAUAUGACCCUCGCAGGCAUCUGUGAGGGUGUAAAGCUCCGGCGGUGCAGGAUGAGCCCGCGGCCUAUCAGCUUGUUGGUGAGGUAACGGCUCACCAAGGCGACGACGGGUAGCCGGCCUGAGAGGGCGACCGGCCACACUGGGACUGAGACACGGCCCAGACUCCUACGGGAGGCAGCAGUGGGGAAUAUUGCACAAUGGGCGAAAGCCUGAUGCAGCGACGCCGCGUGAGGGAUGACGGCCUUCGGGUUGUAAACCUCUUUCAGCAGGGAAGAAGCGAAAGUGACGGUACCUGCAGAAGAAGCGCCGGCUAACUACGUGCCAGCAGCCGCGGUAAUACGUAGGGCGCAAGCGUUGUCCGGAAUUAUUGGGCGUAAAGAGCUCGUAGGCGGCUUGUCGCGUCGGUUGUGAAAGCCCGGG
rnacentral:rRNA from 1 species